ensembl:lncRNA
CUCAGACUUAGCCUGUAAAAGGCAUUCACCUUAAGCUCAGUUUAUGUGCUAAAGAGUUGUUGUAAAUUCUUUCUUGUCUUUUUGAAAAUUGAGGCACGGUUCACCUCCACAGAUUCUCUUCUGGAUGUUUUCUUUCAAAAUCUUAGUCAGAAACUGUUUUUGAUUACAGGGAGAUAAAAAAUUAAGGUGUGAUUCUGCUGAUCUUCGGCAUGACAUUGACCGCCGUAGAAAAGAGCGAAGUAAAGAGCGAGGAGACUCAAAGGGCUCCAGGGAAUCCAGUGGGUCGAGAAAGCAGGAGAAAACUUCAAAAGAUUACAAGGAUUACAAAUCUUAUAAAGAUGACAGCAAAUAUGUAUUAUCUGUCUUUUACACGGCUUAUGGUGGAUGAGGACAAAAACUUUGGAAUAGCAAGCUAACACUGAAAAAAAAAAUGACAAAUUAAUCUGUCCUAUUAUCCAGGCUACAUCAGGAGGUUGGACUUCAAUGCAGUACAUUUCUAUAAACAAUUUGUUAAGCAAAAAAGAGAGCAAGACCGUGCUAGAUCUUCUCCAUCUUCCUCUCCAUCUGCUUCUUCAUCCAGUUCUCGAGAAGAAAAGGAUUGCAAGAAAGAAAGAGAUGAAGAGUUCAAAACUCACCACGAACAGAAAGAAUACUCUGGUUUUGCAGGAGUCAGCAGGCCAAGAGGCACCUUUUUUCGAAUUAGGGGCAGAGGAAGAGCCAGAGGAGUCUUUGCUGGAACAAAUACUGGUCCCAGCAACUCAAAUACUACUUUUCAAAAGAGACCGAAGGAAGAGGAGUGGGAUCCUGAAUAUACCCCAAAAAGCAAGAAAUAUUUCUUGCAUGAUGACAGAGAUGAUGGUGUGGAUUAUUGGGCCAAACGAGGAAGGGGCCGUGGUACUUUCCAGCGUGGCAGAGGGCGUUUUAACUUCAAAAAGUCAGGUAGCAGUCCGAAGUGGACACAUGACAAAUACCAAGGGGAUGGGAUUGUGGAAGAUGAAGAAGAAACGAUGGAGAACAACGAAGAUAAGGACAGACGCAAGGAGGAAAAGGAAUAACCCUGGACGAAAGCUGAAAGAGCAGCUUUUGCACCACCCACACAACGUUUUUAAUAUGUUCUUUUUGUUGUCAAAUGAAUGUAAGCAUUUUACUUAAAUUUUACUGUUGGAAGUAGUUUAGAAGGAUUGUUUUUCUGUUUUAAGCCUUUAGGAAAAAAAAUCUUGAUAUAGUAAACUAUGUUAAUGAUCGUACAGUUAGAAAGUAAAAUAUUUGUAACAACUUUUAAGAAAUUUUACUGUUUGUUAUAUGCAGUGUAAUUCUGCUUUGUCCAAAUACAUGGUCAAGUACAACUCUUAAAAGUUUUGAUUCUCCCCCUAUGUCUGUGUUUUAUUCUGAAGUAAACUUCCAGCUCUGCACACCUGAAAUCUUGGAGGAGCAUUUUUUAUCAGCUGAUUGCUACUUCUGUGUUGCUUUUUUUAUUAAAAACGUUUUUAAUGAUAGUUAUCCAGUCAUAAUGUGAAUACAAAGUUAUGUAUGAGGUUGAUUAUACGUUAGUUCACAAGAAUCACAUUUACAGGAGGUCUUGAAAUGAUAGAUUGAUUCUUGAUUCUUCUUCUCACACUACAGAGAGAAAAACUGAAAGAUAGUAACUGUCACUGUUCUCUAGUAGCCUGAGGAAUACAUAUGUAUAUGAAUUCUUCAGUGAGAUUCAAGAUUAUUUCUCUUUUGGAAUGUGAAUUUUAGAAGCCUGUUUCCAAACCACUGGUGCUAGAAACUCUGAACAGGUCUGAAAACCUGAAUGCUCUCUGCCAUUUCUGCAGUUGGUAGAAAACUAUCUACAGCUGUCUUAAUUCUGUAACUUGUGUCCAGAACACGAUAGUCAUGUAUUGUGGAUACCUUGUGAUGUCUUCCGUCAUCAAAAGGCACUUCUCUUACCAAGGGUAACAUAGUACUAUGUUUAAGGUUUUUUAAACCUGUGGUUUAAACUCACUGCAAGAUAAAGGUGCUGUCCGUUAUUAGGGGUGGCAUUUUCAGGGCCGACAAGAUCACAGUUUCAGCUUUAAGUCAGUAACUUAAUCUUCCACAUUUUAGUUAAGAAAUUGAUGGCAGUAUCAAUGUUGUAUUUAUAUCAGUCUUGGUUUCAAUUUGUUAAAUUGCCUCUUUUUUUAUGUGGAAUCCCCUCUUCAGGUAAGUGAUCUGGCAAGAGUAAGUCUUUAAGUUUUCUAUCACAUCAGCAGCCUUAGGUGAGAUCUUGGAGGGAAAAUGCACACCAACCCAACACAUUCCCCUGAAAAUACAUAAAGCAAGUUACAUUAAAAUUUGAAUCAGUAAAAAUACUUAGAAUGUGCUAAAUGAUUAUAUGAAGUAUUCUGUUACCAUGCCCUGGAAAUACAUGCUCUUACUAUUCCACUUUAUCCAGUGUAUAAGUCUGAAGUUGUAACUCGAUAAAAGCUGUUAGCGGAGGGUGUGAGAAAUGAGUUAGUCCUUUACACUGAUUUUUCUGAAUAGUUGUGCCCUUUCAGUAUUGUAGUUAAAUUGUGGGAGUCAGUCUACAGUAUUUAAAAAAAAAAAAAAGUGCUUUGGUUAAAAUGAAAAUGUAUUUGUCUUAAAUACAUAUGCUCUUCUACUGGCUUUGUUAGUAGUUAACUAUCUGACCUAUCCAUGCUAAAUAAUAGAAGGCAAAAAACCAGCAUUCUAACUGUAUUUGAAAAAAAUGGAUUUCAGAUUGCACUACUGUACCAGCAUCUGUGUAGAAAGGGAAUUAGGAUUAAUAUUUGCCCUUCAGCGGUAGGUACUAAAGGAUAAUUUCUGCCUUACAUUUAAAGAAGUUUGGGCAGACUAUACCCUUUUUGCAAAACCUGCUUUUGUAUGUACAGUGCAUCUUUUAAUAACAAUUUGAAAUGUGAACUGAUUAUUUUUCUAAGUAAAUCUUGCAUGUAAUUUGUGUAUACUGAAUUAGAAGCAAGAAAAGGAGCAGAACAAUAAACUGGUAUACUGACAGAGUCA